GUCUUUGAAAAUCAAAGACUAGCAGUAAGAAAUAUUUGCGGCCUUUCACGCCGUCAACAGCGGUUCAAAUCCGCUUGGGGACGCCA
rnacentral:tRNA from 1 species